rnacentral:pre_miRNA from 1 species
UUAACCCAAUUUUGUAUGCAGUUGGAACAGCGCCCCUAGCGGCAAACGUAGUUAAACGUUCCGACUCCAUACAAAUUUGAGUUA